UGGGGAAUAUUGCACAAUGGGCGCAAGCCUGAUGCAGCCAUGCCGCGUGUAUGAAGAAGGCCUUUGGGUUGUAAAGUACUUUCCGCGGGGAGGAAGGGAGUAACGUUAAUACCUUUGCUCAUUGACGCUACCCGCAGAAGAACCACCGGCUAACUACGUGCCAGCAGCCGCGGUAAUACGUAGGUGGCAAGCGUUGUCCGGAUUUAUUGGGCGUAAAGCGUGCGCAGGCGGUUUCUUAAGUCUGAUGUGAAAGCCCCCGGCUCAACUGGGGAGGGUCAGUGGAAACUAGGAGGCUAGAGUGCAGAAGAGGAGGGUGGAAUUCCAUGUGUAGCGGUGAAAUGCGUAGAUAUAUGGAAGAACACCAGUGGCGAAGGCGGCUCGCUGGGCUGUAACUGACGCUGAGGGUCGAAAGCGUGGGGAGCAAACGGG
rnacentral:rRNA from 1 species